GACGAACGCUGGCGGCGUGCUUAACACAUGCAAGUCGAACGAAGUGGCGAACGGGUGAGUAACGCGUAAUCAACCUGCCCUUCACAGGGGGACAACAGUUGGAAACGACUGCUAAUACCGCAUACCGAAGGUGCGUCUUGCGUCUGAUUAGCUAGCUGGAGGGGUAACGGCCCACCAAUGCGAAGAUCAGUAGCUGGGGUGGGAGGAGUGACGGCACCAAUGGGAAUGAGAGAGGGCGCAGUCUGCUACGGGAGGCAGCAGGGGGGAAUCUUCCGAAAUGGACGAAAGUCUGACGGAGCAAAGCCGCGUGAGUGAUGACGGCCUUCGGGUUGUAAAGCUCUGUUAAUCGGGACGCGGUACCGGAAUAGAAAGCCACGGCUAACUACGUGCCAGCAGCCGCGGUAAUUC
rnacentral:rRNA from 1 species